rnacentral:lncRNA from 12 species
CCUUAAAGCCCACCUGAGUCCUUCCUGUGAGGCUGUUCUGAGGACUGGCGGCCCUUGCAGUGGUGAGUCCCCACUCUGGACAUCUGGCUGAUUGGAGCUCAGCAAGGUGGAGCAGGGAGAGAGGAACAUAACCAGGGAAAAGGCUGGCACAGCAAGGAGACCUACACAUACAUUUCUGGUAGUGGCUGGACAGAGAGGGCCUGGACCCCAACUUCUCAGGAAGACAAGACCCCCUCCUUGGAUCAUGCGGCCUGACAUCUCUCCAGUAGCCUCCCACAAGCAGUCACCAGAAUAGAAAAAGCUGAAACCACACCCACCAACAUUAAAGAUGGGGCCCAGGAUGUUGGGAUGGAGAUGAGACAGAAUGAAUGGGGCUUGUGCAAGGUGGCAGUAGGGGAGCGCCGGGCUCACUGGACCAAUGCGACCUGCCCAGGCCAUGGAGGUAAGUGCCUUCUUGACCCAUGGGGAAGAACUUCCCUUAAACUUCGGGCAAACCAAUCAGCAAACCAGAGUCCACAGGCUCUCAGCCAGCUGGUGGGCUCAGGCCAGCUAUGGAAAAAUCUGCCUGUGAAGUCAUCUGCUCUCAGCAGGACCCAAACUAUGAGCUGCAAAGAAACCGCAUCAGCAGAGAGACAGAUACUCUGCCUCCAGGAGGUGAUCAAGGACUGUGUUAGCCUCAUCCCUGGUGAAGUCAAAGUCCUUACCAAGGGGAGUUUGUGGGGCAUUGGGUAG